rnacentral:lncRNA from 1 species
GGUAAAAUCAAUUGAAAACUGUGAAAGAUCUACCAUCAAAACCAAAUUCUACAAACUUAUAAAAGGCAACCAAUGAUUAAGGUUCCUGAGUUUAAACAGGCUCUUUUAUAGCAGAAUAUGUGGUAUGGGCUUUGCUCAUUGUUGAAGGCUGUACGGUGACCUUAAGUUGUUAAUUUCUGUGUCAUUUGGUCUCUUGUGGCGAGUUGUCUGAUUGGCAAUAAUACCUUAUCUUCUUUUUUAUAUCUAAAACAUGUUCAUAAUACUAACAGCGGUUUAUUUAACAUACUUUUUCAAUACUUUAAGUAAGAAGUGGACAAACUCCGAAGAAGUGAACCGACUGCAAAAUCUACAUCCUACCAUGGAAGUAA